AGCGAACGCUGGCGGCAGGCCUAACACAUGCAAGUCGAACGAACCCUUCGGGGUUAGUGGCGGACGGGUGAGUAACACGUGGGAACGUGCCUUUAGGUUCGGAAUAACUCAGGGAAACUUGUGCUAAUACCGAAUGUGCCCUUCGGGGGAAAGAUUUAUCGCCUUUAGAGCGGCCCGCGUCUGAUUAGCUAGUUGGUGAGGUAAUGGCUCACCAAGGCUACGAUCAGUAGCUGGUCUGAGAGGAUGACCAGCCACAUUGGGCCUGAGACACGGCCCAAACUCCUACGGGAGGCAGCAGUGGGAAAUCUUGCGCAAUGGGCGAAAGCCUGACGCAGCCAUGCCGCGUGGAUGAUGAAAGUCUUAGGAUUGUAAAAUCCUUUCACCGGUGAAGAUAAUGACUGUAGCCGGAGAAGAAGCCCCGGCUAACUUCGUGCCAGCCGCCGCCGUAAAAC
rnacentral:rRNA from 1 species